UGUUCGUAUUCUUCCAGCAUCCCUCCAUAAAUAGCUCCCAAAAGCUAUGAACUGCUUGUGCUCAGUUUCACUCUUAUCAGUGAAUUAGAUCAUAUACUUGUGUCCUUGAUAGCUCGUUAAUUAGCAUGGCUAGGUCACUCGCUGCUGUCCUACUCCUUUUGGUCGCCGCCGCGGGAGCCAGCCAUGCCGCGUCGCCGGCGGAGAUGUACUGGAAGAUCGCGCUCCCGACCUCGCCGAUGCCCGGCGCCAUUCGCGACCUCAUCAGCCCAGCGAGCUCAGUGGGCUCAGCUUCGAAGGAGGACACGGUGGGCAACGUGUUCUUCCUCGAGAAGGACCUCUUCCCGGGCUCCAAGAUGACGCUCCACUUCACCCGCGCCACCGCCGGCGCCGCGCUGCUCCCCCGCGGCCGCGCCGAGUCCGUCCCGUUCGCCUCCGAAAGGCUCCCGGAGAUCCUCUCCCAGCUCUCCAUCCCGGCCGUCUCGCCGACCGCCGACGCCAUGUGGUCCACGCUCGCCGAGUGCGAGGCCGCGCGGCUCGCCGGCGAGACGACCAAGCACAAGCACUACUGCGCCACGUCGCUCGAGUCCAUGGUCGAGUUCGUCGCGUCCAGCCUCGGCACCCGCGACGUCCACGCCGUGUCCACGGAGGUGAUCAGCACGUUGACGCCGACGCCGAGGCAGGCGUACAGGGUGGAGGCCGUGAGGCCCGUGGCGGUGCCCGGCGGCGACAUGGUGGCAUGCCACGGGAUGCCGUACGCGUACGCCGUGUUCGGGUUGCACGGGCUCAAGGGCGCAGGCGGUGGCCGCGUGCCACGGGGACGUGGACGGGCACGGCGCGGUGGCGGAGGCAUACAAGAGGCUCGGCGUGGCGCCCGGGAGCGUGGCCAUCUGCCACUUCCUGCCUCAGGACGACAUGAUCUGGGUGCGCAACUGAAUUAAUGAAGCAGCUACCUUGCGCGCCAUCCAUGGCUAAUUAUUUUAGACAUGCUCCUUCCUAUAUUUUGGAUCUACCUGCCGGCUAUCAUGUUAUCAUAAAUUUACGCGUGUGCGCGCGACGAUCCGACAUGCCCACACUAACGUGUUUUACUUUGUUAAUUAAUAAGUCUGCAUACCCAGGUCAUCUUGUACGGUGCUACUCCCUCUAUCCCGAAAUAAAACAACUUAUAGAGAUUGAAGUUUGUCCCAAAAUAAACCAACUUCUACCUUCUUGCCUACCA